UACAGAGGGUGCAAGCGUUAAUCGGCAUUACUGGGCGUAAAGCGUGCGUAGACGGUCAUGUAAGUCGGGUGUGAAAGCCCCGGGCUCAACCUGGGAAUUGCAUUCGAGACUGCAUGGCUAGGAUGCGGAAGAGGGAAGCGGAAUUUCCGGUGUAGCGGUGAAAUGCGUAGAUAUCGGAAGGAACACCAGUGGCGAAAGCGGCUUCCUGGUCCAGCACCGACGUUCAGGCACGAAAGCGUGGGGAGCAAACAGG
rnacentral:rRNA from 1 species